rnacentral:rRNA from 1 species
UACGUAGGGUGCGAGCGUUGUCCGGAAUUAUUGGGCGUAAAGAGCUCGUAGGCGGUCUGUCGCGUCGGUCGUGAAAACUUGGGGCUUAACCCUGAGCUUGCGGUCGAUACGGGCAUGACUGGAGUUCGGCAGGGGAGACUGGAAUUCCCGGUGUAGUGGUGGAAUGCGUAGAUAUCGGGAGGAACACCAGUGGCGAAGGCGGCUCUCUGGACCUCUGCUGACGCUGAGGCGCGAAAGCGUGGGGAGCGAACAGG